CCAAGUUUCAGCCCUUAUUCUAUUGCAACCUAAGGUUAAAUUUGCAAAGGUACUUUUGCCUCACCUGUGAAGGAGACUGGAACACAAUAUUUCUAACAUCCCUACCAGCUUGCACAGAGUGUAUUUCUGAGGGUCUAUGCAUUUCAUUCUGAACUGCUUGAAGACCUGGAAAGAGAGUAUUUUUUCUGACCUGCUUCAUGACCUUAAGUCAAAACACUUAUCACACACAAGAUUCUAUGAUUAGUCAUUUUCACAGUAACACCAAUAUUAAUAUUUUAAGCAGGUACCAUGGUAAUUAGUUAAAAAUAUAUUAUCUCUAAUGUUGCCGAUCCUGAAAAAUACAGAGCUUUUGUCCUUUUAAUAAUGGGCAAAUCUGAUUUCAUUUCCUCCUUCAAAUCUCCUUCAUUAUAUAUAAAAAAAAAGAAAAAUAAUUUGGGUUCCCCUUCUCAACUUGACCCAGGGUCUCCCUGUUCAGGCUCUCAGGUUGUGCACUAGACAAUUAAAGAGGCCUCCAUUCACCAAGAAGACAAUGGGAUGCUGCCUUUUGGAAUUAUGCGGAGUGAUGGCCUUGACUCUCACACCUUCCUGUCCAAUUACAAUGCUCUAAUCUCUUGUCUUUCCUGAAACAAGUCGUGCAUUUUCCUGCCUUGAUAUCUUUGUCCACAAGGUUCCCACUGCCUGAAAUACCUCUGCUAUGACAUUAAAAUGAUUGUUUUCGUCUAUUUCCCCCAACACAGUGAAAUCCUCAAAGGCAGGGACUCUGCAUCGUGCCCCCUAGCACAGCCAGAAUAAACAGAAUCUGGAUGCUAAAGAUCUACGUGCAGCGGAGCUUUAAAGAGACCCAUUUAUCACACACUGUAAAAGCAAAUGGGGAGUGGAGGAGUGAAAGUCUCAAAUGCAAGACCUCAGCAGCUACCCAGCAAGAAAGUUCGCUACCUAAGAGCUUGCUUUUGCAACUCCCAGGAUUCUGAUAUUCCCGUGGCAUAAGGAGCUGCCAAGAAAGCAAGUGGAAAUUAAGAAGACAAAAACAAACUCCAGAAAACUCUACGCUCAGAUCCCUGCAAAUGUCUUCUGCCAGCUCCCUUAGGUGUACGCGAGUACCGGUGGCUUUGUUGUGAAAUGGUCCCAUUUUUCUCCUGUGAGUUCCAGAGAAGAGAGCCUGCACUGACCCAGGGGAUAGAAUAUCGUUCCCAGGAAGAACAUUUAAAGGGAUUAAGGUUGCUCUGAGAGUAUUUAAAUUUUAUCUUUUCUAUGAAAAUUUCUCUGACUACCUGAGGAUGCUGUUCCAGUUCUCUGAAUCUUUAGGAUGUAUUGCACAUUCUGAUUUUUAGCUUAUAUUCCUAAGUAGCAUUUUAUGGUUGCUGUUUUUUAACCUUAUCUUUCCCCAAGAAAGGAUCGGCUUUGCUCAGGGGUGGUGGCUCCCAGUUCUUGGUGCUACAGAGUGAGUGCCCAGAGCACUGGACGCAGGGCAGGCAGGGCCGUCGUAAAUACAUGUUCACUUGACUUAAGGGAAAUGAUCUAAUUAUUGUCCUCAAGCCAACACUUUUUUUUUUUUUACAGUUCUCAUUCUAUUUUUUUUUAUUUUGGCAUAUUAUGGGGGUACAGAUUUUAAGGUUUCAAUAAAUGCCCUUUUCCCCUCCUUCCCCCACAAGUCUGAGUCUCCAGCAUGACCAUCCUCCAGACCGUGCACAUCUCACUCAUUAUGUAUGUAUAUACCCGCCCCCCUCCCACCUGCCCAAUACCCUAUUACUAUAGUACCUAUGUGUCCACUUAGGUGCUGCUCAGUUAAUACCAGUUUUCUGGUGAGUAUAUGUGGUGCUUGUUUUUCCAUUCUUGGGAUACUUCACUUAGUAGUAUGAGUUCCAGCUCUAACCAGGAAAAUAUAAGAUGUGCUAUAUCACCGUUGUUUCUUAGAGCUGAAUAGUACUCCAUGGUAUACAUAUACCACAUUUUAUUAAUCCAUUCUUGGAUUGAUGGGCACUUGGGCUGUUUCCACAGCCUUGCAAUUAUGAAUUGUGCUGCUAUAAACAUUCGAGUGCAGGUGUCUUUUUGUAGAA
ensembl:lincRNA